GGGUUGUGAGGUUAAGCGACUAAGCGUACACGGUGGAUGCCCUGGCAGUCAGAGGCGAUGAAGGACGUGCUAAUCUGCGAAAAGCGUCGGUAAGGUGAUAUGAACCGUUAUAACCGGCGAUGUCCGAAUGGGGAAACCCAGUGCAAUUCGUUGCACUAUCGUUAACUGAAUACAUAGGUUAACGAGGCGAACCGGGGGAACUGAAACAUCUAAGUACCCCGAGGAAAAGAAAUCAACCGAGAUUCCCCCAGUAGCGGCGAGCGAACGGGGAGCAGCCCAGAGUCUGAAUCAGCUUGUGUGUUAGUGGAACGGUCUGGAAAGUCCGACGGUACAGGGUGAUAGUCCCGUACACCAAAAUGCACAGGUUGUGAACUCGAAGAGUAGGGCGGGACACGUGGUAUCCUGUCUGAAUAUGGGGGGACCAUCCUCCAAGGCUAAAUACUCCUGACUGACCGAUAGUGAACCAGUACCGUGAGGGAAAGGCGAAAAGAACCCCGGCGAGGGGAGUGAAAAAGAACCUGAAACCGUGUACGUACAAGCAGUGGGAGCACCUUCGGGUGUGACUGCGUACCUUUUGUAUAAUGGGUCAGCGACUUAUAUUCUGUAGCAAGGUUAACCGUAUAGGGGAGCCGCAGGGAAACCGAGUCUUAACUGGGCGUUAAGUUGCAGGGUAUAGACCCGAAACCCGGUGAUCUAGCCAUGGGCAGGUUGAAGGUUGGGUAACACUAACUGGAGGACCGAACCGACUAAUGUUGAAAAAUUAGCGGAUGACUUGUGGCUGGGGGUGAAAGGCCAAUCAAACCGGGAGAUAGCUGGUUCUCCCCGAAAGCUAUUUAGGUAGCGCCUCGUGAACUCAUCUUCGGGGGUAGAGCACUGUUUCGGCUAGGGGGUCAUCCCGACUUACCAACCCGAUGCAAACUACGAAUACCGAAGAAUGUUAUCACGGGAGACACACGGCGGGUGCUAACGUCCGUCGUGAAGAGGGAAACAACCCAGACCGCCAGCUAAGGUCCCAAAGUCAUGGUUAAGUGGGAAACGAUGUGGGAAGGCACAGACAGCCAGGAUGUUGGCUUAGAAGCAGCCAUCAUUUAAAGAAAGCGUAAUAGCUCACUGGUCGAGUCGGCCUGCGCGGAAGAUGUAACGGGGCUAAACCAUGCACCGAAGCUGCGGCAGCGACACUAUGUGUUGUUGGGUAGGGGAGCGUUCUGUAAGCCUGCGAAGGUGUGCUGUGAGGCAUGCUGGAGGUAUCAGAAGUGCGAAUGCUGACAUAAGUAACGAUAAAGCGGGUGAAAAGCCCGCUCGCCGGAAGACCAAGGGUUCCUGUCCAACGUUAAUCGGGGCAGGGUGAGUCGACCCCUAAGGCGAGGCCGAAAGGCGUAGUCGAUGGGAAACAGGUUAAUAUUCCUGUACUUGGUGUUACUGCGAAGGGGGGACGGAGAAGGCUAUGUUAGCCGGGCGACGGUUGUCCCGGUUUAAGCAUGUAGGCUGAUUGUCCAGGCAAAUCCGGAUAAUCAAGGCUGAGGUGUGAUGACGAGGCACUACGGUGCUGAAGUAACAAAUGCCCUGCUUCCAGGAAAAGCCUCUAAGCAUCAGGUAACAUCAAAUCGUACCCCAAACCGACACAGGUGGUCAGGUAGAGAAUACCAAGGCGCUUGAGAGAACUCGGGUGAAGGAACUAGGCAAAAUGGUGCCGUAACUUCGGGAGAAGGCACGCUGGUGUGUAGGUGAAGUCCCUGCGGAUGGAGCUGAGACCAGUCGAAGAUACCAGCUGGCUGCAACUGUUUAUUAAAAACACAGCACUGUGCAAACACGAAAGUGGACGUAUACGGUGUGACGCCUGCCCGGUGCCGGAAGGUUAAUUGAUGGGGUUAUCCGUAAGGAGAAGCUCUUGAUCGAAGCCCCGGUAAACGGCGGCCGUAACUAUAACGGUCCUAAGGUAGCGAAAUUCCUUGUCGGGUAAGUUCCGACCUGCACGAAUGGCGUAAUGAUGGCCAGGCUGUCUCCACCCGAGACUCAGUGAAAUUGAACUCGCUGUGAAGAUGCAGUGUACCCGCGGCAAGACGGAAAGACCCCGUGAACCUUUACUAUAGCUUGACACUGAACAUUGAGCCUUGAUGUGUAGGAUAGGUGGGAGGCUUUGAAGCGUGGACGCCAGUCUGCGUGGAGCCAACCUUGAAAUACCACCCUUUAAUGUUUGAUGUUCUAACGUUGGCCCCUUACCGGGGUUGCGGACAGUGUCUGGUGGGUAGUUUGACUGGGGCGGUCUCCUCCCAAAGCGUAACGGAGGAGCACGAAGGUUAGCUAAUCCUGGUCGGACAUCAGGAGGUUAGUGCAAUGGCAUAAGCUAGCUUGACUGCGAGCGUGACGGCGCGAGCAGGUGCGAAAGCAGGUCAUAGUGAUCCGGUGGUUCUGAAUGGAAGGGCCAUCGCUCAACGGAUAAAAGGUACUCCGGGGAUAACAGGCUGAUACCGCCCAAGAGUUCAUAUCGACGGCGGUGUUUGGCACCUCGAUGUCGGCUCAUCACAUCCUGGGGCUGAAGUAGGUCCCAAGGGUAUGGCUGUUCGCCAUUUAAAGUGGUACGCGAGCUGGGUUUAGAACGUCGUGAGACAGUUCGGUCCCUAUCUGCCGUGGGCGCUGGAGAAUUGAGGGGGGCUGCUCCUAGUACGAGAGGACCGGAGUGGACGCAUCACUGGUGUUCGGGUUGUCAUGCCAAUGGCACUGCCCGGUAGCUAAAUGCGGAAGAGAUAAGUGCUGAAAGCAUCUAAGCACGAAACUUGCCCCGAGAUGAGUUCUCCCUGAGACUUUAAGUCUCCUGAAGGAACGUUGAAGACGACGACGUUGAUAGGCCGGGUGUGUAAGCGCAGCGAUGCGUUGAGCUAACCGGUACUAAUGAACCGUGAGGCUUAACCUUACAACGCCGAAG
rnacentral:rRNA from 1 species